GGGGCUGAGGUUCAGCGGUAGAACACUUGCCUACCAUGUAUGAGGCACUGGGUUCGAUUCUCAGCACCA
rnacentral:tRNA from 1 species